UACAGAGGGGGCAAGCGUUGUUCGGAAUUACUGGGCGUAAAGGGCGCGUAGGCGGCCUGCUAAGUCGAACGUGAAAUCCCUGGGCUCAACCCAGGAACUGCGUCCGAUACUGGUUGGCUUGAAUCCGGGAGAGGGAUGCAGAAUUCCAGGUGUAGCGGUGAAAUGCGUAGAUAUCUGGAGGAAUACCGGUGGCGAAGGCGGCAUCCUGGACCGGCAUUGACGCUGAAGCGCGAAAGCUAGGGGAGCAAACAGG
rnacentral:rRNA from 1 species